AUGCCAAUUAAAGAUUUUCUCUCUCUGUCUCUCUUCAUUAUUCAUUAUUUUAUUCGAUUCUCUCACUCUCUUCUCUAUUCUAUUUUUUUCAAUGAUAACAUAAACAACUUAAUGUUUUUCCAGCUACUCCCUCCGUCUGCUCUAUUUGCUUCGUUCGUCCUUGUCUCACUCUCUCUUGGUUUCAAACAUAAGCAGUAA